rnacentral:lncRNA from 1 species
AUGUAAACCGAGUACAAUCAUCCACCAAGGUUAAGAAAAAUCCGUGGCCAGCAUGAGAAGGAACAUGAUAAGGUCAGCUUUAUUCAAUCUAGAUACAUCACAAUGCGCCAAGUCAAAUGGAAAUUGAGACAUAUGAUUGUGAGAAUCAAAAGAUAAUCAUCUUUCUUUUGCAAGGGGACAAAUGUAACAAAGAUCAGCUUUAUUCAAUCUAGAUACAUCACAAUGCAAAUGGUGUUUCAAAGUAUCUAAACGUCAGAAGAUAGACAAGCCUUCUAUGCCAUAUAUGAGCUGAAACGGUAUUUACAUAUGUUGUAGAGAAAAAAUUCAGAUUGUUUUUUUUAUCCAGAACAUAGAGAUCUUCAAACUUAUCACCCUUGCCAAUCAUCUUCUCGGUGUUGUGUUCUUGGAUACUGCUGCAAUCAGGAAGAAAGUUGAUCGUGAGAUUUGAUCCACAAGUGAGUGCACUUAUAGAUAUCAGGUUAAACUUGAAUCGAGGAACUUAUAAAAAAUCCUUGAGGACAAGCAUAGAGCUCAGUCUAAUGUCACCAGAGUAGUUCACUGGGAUUUGAGUAUGAUUUGGUAAGGUGACCUUGGAAUUUUAAGAAGGUUUCAUAGAAUCGAAAGCAUCAGCAGUUGAACAUAUAUGCCUUAUAGCACCGGAAUCAACUAUCCAAUAUUGAGUAAAUGAAAAGAUAGAACUCAAAUGCAAUUGAGAUUCAAAUACCUGCCAUAUAAGUAGUAGUAAAAUCAUCAGUAGUUUUGACAGGAGGCCAAAUAAUUUGACAGCAUAGACAUGAGAUGUUGGUAUUGGUUGGAAUUGAGAUUUUGGACAAAGCUCCCCAUUUCACUUUGUUGUUCAUUCUGAUUUGACACCUGAUUAAUUGCAAUGUUGUUGCUGGUAUAGGCUGAGUUAUCUCUGUCUCUUACUUUGUAACCAGGUGGGUAGCCAUGAAUCUCAUAGCAUCUAUCAACCGUAUGGCCAUGGAAGUUGCAAUGGGUACAAAAAGGUCCCUCUUUCUUCUAUCCUUUGUAACCUCCAUUGUUGAAUCAUUUCGAUUACUACCAUUGCUAUAGUUCCAGAAUUAGGAAUUCCAGGGCGUUUAGCAUUAUAUGAUUUAACAGUAAACGUCAUACUUCCAACAGGAUCUGAAGUACAACCAACUUGGCUAGUGAUCUUCCUCUGAUCUUCUUCUGGCGAGAUUAGAGCAAAAGCUUUAUUUGUAGACGGUAAUGGAUCCAUGAAAAGUAAUUGUCCUCGAACUUGUGAAUAAGAAUCAUUUAGUCCUAUAAGAAAAGACAUUACGCACUCAAUCUGAUAAUAAGAACUAGGAUUCUUAACACCACCACAAGUGCAUUUGCUACAAGAACAUACAGGCCUAUAAUUGCUUAAUUCUUCCCAUGUAGUUUUCAGUUUUGUAAAGUAUAUGCUAACAGAAUUUUGAUCUUGAGCUAAACUCAUCAAUUCAUGCUUUAGCUGGAAGAUCCUAGGUUUAUAUUUCAGUUGGAAACUUUCUUUAAGAUCAAGCCAUAUUUCAUGUGUGGACUCAACAUAUAUAAUACUAGCAGAAAUUUCCUUAGAAACAGAAUUCAAUAUCCAAAAAAUAUCUACAUUGUUAUUUCUAGUCCAAGAGCUGAGGACAUCCGAAUCAGUACCUUCAGGCUUUUCAAUUGAUCCAUCCUCAAAUCCAAGCUUGUUUUUCAUGGACAAUGCGAUCAGCAUCACUCUACUCCAGGAGGUAUAAUUUUCUCCGGUGAGGCUGCGAAACUAGUACCAAUCCUGGGCUAUCAGAAUGAUGAAGGUAAUAUGGAUUCGAAGUUUCAUAUAAGGUGGAUUUACUUGAAGAUGAUCUCAGUUCAAUAUCCAAGAGAAAGAAAAGGAAAAGAAAGUGGCACCCUACGUUUGAACAGUUUUGAAUUUUCAUGAGACUACUUACAGCAGAUCAAGCAACCUGCUCUGAUACCAUAUUAAUGUUUGAAGAGAAUAAAUGGAAGAGAAUACUGAUACCAAGGUUUGAAGAUUAGAGUAGAAUCUGGAGAGAACAACCGUAGAGAAGAAAUUCAUUUCAUGAAAACAUGUAUCAUGUGUUACAAUCCAAACAAUAUAAAUAGGCUGACUGGUGUUUAGAAUUAGUUACAUGACAGUUCAACAUUAACUACCAACUAUGACAGCUUAUCACUCACUCACUCAAAUUAACAGAAUCAAUUAUAUGAUCUAAUAUAUACCUUGAUCGAAUUGAGGUUGGGGGACCAAACUCGUUUGAAACGAACAUGGAGUACAGAAGUGAAGGGAAUGGACAGCUGAAGAACCAGUGUCGCUUAGUGAUAGAGGGAGAAAAAUUGACGCUGAUGAUAGUUUGAGGACUAAAGUGGUGCUAAAUAAUAGUUUGAGGGAAAAUUCAAGAAGGGCAUAAUUGAGGGACUAAGUUCGUUUUGACAGAUAGCUAAAGGACAAAAUUGAUGCUGACAAAUAGUUGGAGAUCAGAAUUGAAAUUUGUAAAUUGCUGGAUCAAAUUGACAGCCUUGGUUAGGCCAGCCAGGAGCAAAACCCCAAGUGAAAGGUCAGCUGAACGAAGCCAGCUAAGGAAUAAGAGCUGGGGAAGAGUAAGAGAGCAAAAGGGACCCUCGCAUAAGAAUAACCUAAUCACCAAAAUGAUGAAAAAUAUUAGUUAUAAGACCUAAUUGGACUGAUACUUUGAGAACUAAACCUAUUCCUGAUAGAAGAAUGAUCAAUAUGGUACAAACCGUAGUUGGGGGAACAAAGUGGAGUUGACUAGUGAUGGAGGCACAAAUAUGGUUUUAAGUGCUAAUGUGAGGACUAAAAUGGUGGGUACAAAUAGUUGGAGGAUCGAAAUAGCUAGUUAUUAGAGUUGGAGGGGCAAACUAUCCAGUCUUAAUAGUUGGAAAACCAUAGUUGGAGUAUGGUUAUAUUUAUUUUAAAGCCUAUUUUUCUCAGCAUUAUAUCAUCUUUGACAUCCUCUUUUUUGACAAACUAAGUCUCAUUGGUGAUGAAAUUAGUGUCAAAUUUCUACUUUCAUUUUCAAAAGUAGGCAAAAAUGGCACGAUUGCGUUUAUACUUAUCUAUGAGUCAUUUUUAUUUUGUUUUAUCAUUAAUCUGUUAGAAUUUUAUGAAACUUUAAAUCUCAAAACUUGAAAACCUAAUUACUUUAUUGCCAGGAUCUUCCAGCUAAAUUAAUAAACCCAACAAUCUCCCACUUGAGCCACAUAUGUUACCUGCUAAGUGUAUAACAUUAUGACAUCAAAACUUUUGCUAUCAUAGCCAAAAGCAUCUCUGAACAGUCUCAUCCAUUGAUUAUAUUAAUAUAGGAUCAAAGCGGUCUUUGUUACAAAUAUCAUAACUAAACCCUUAAUGGUCAUGUAUAUCAACACAAUCAACAUAGAUCAAGUAUGGAUGUAUUGCAUGAAAAUUACAUGCAAUGAAAUCUAAAUAUCCCUAAUUCCAAAUGGCCCUACCUUAUUCUUUAACGGGAUCAACUAUAAACUUUAGUUGGAGUGAAACUAGAUCUGGAGCAAGAAUGUCCCUGGUCCUAAUCAUUGUCAAUUGUAAUAGAAGAAAUAUGUACAUAUUCUUCUUCCAAGAUAAAAUCCUUAACCUUAUAACCUUAUCUCCUUCCGUAAACUCGGCAUCGUAAAAAAAUUGGACAUUUUCUAUUUUGAAAAUUGACCUGAUAGUGGAUCUUAAAAUUUGUAACCCCUUGACCUUUCAAAUUAUCCAAUAAAGUAGUAACUGACAAUUUUGGAGUCCAGCUUGUUUUUUUUUUAUGGCCUACAAGGCCUUGCCUUAACCGAACAACCCUAAAUGUACAAGUGCUUCAAAUUAGGCUUCUUGCCCAUCCAAAGUUCAUAAGGGGUUUAAUAGUUGCUUUAUUUGGAAUUUUAUAGAGAACUUAAGUUGCAAUCUUUAGAAAGAGAGAUUUUGCUGUACUGUGAGAUGAUUACACAUUCCUUUAGGAAUUUAGGAAAAGGCUCUGGACGUUGUUCUCCUAAUCCGUCAUAGUAUUAACCACUAUAGUAAGAUCUAACCUAAAUUAUUUUAUAAAGCUUGAACUUGUCUAGUUAUUGAGAUUCCUUUUGAAUGAGAUAUAGUCAUAAUGAGAAAAAUCGUCUAUGAACGUAAUAAAUGACCAUUGACCAUUCUAAGAAGCCGAAAGGAAUGUCCCAUAGAUAUCCACAUGAAUUAGUUCUAAGACGUCUGAAGUUCUUUUGACACCUAAUCUCCUUAUAUUUAUUUGUUUCUCAUUAAUGUAAUUAACACAAACAUUAAGGUUUGUAAAAUCAGGGGGAUCAUAAGCCAUUCUAUUUUAUUUUGAGAUAUGUGACCUAAUAGCUUGUUCCAUAAUGAAGUGAAAUUCUCAUCAAUUAAUUUAUGUUUAAUACCAUGUGAAUUCACAUGUAAUGUUCUUUAUAAGAGGCAAAUGUAUUAAGCAAAUAUAGGUUACAUAACCAAAUAAAGAACUGGCAUCCGCAAUAAUUGAAUUAAGCAAAAGAUCAAUCUGACUGUUUCCAAUUAAGGAACCAGUUUAGAAAAGCUUCCAUUAUGGCCGAAGUUGGGAGGGCAAAUGGAUCAGAAUGUGGUUUAAUCUCAAAAGAGACUCCCCGGCAGCUUGAAAACCUUUUAAUUUUUUUUUUUUAGAUUUCCAUAUUUUCGCUUAAAAAAUGAAAUCAAAAGCUUAAUAAUGGAGGAAAUUAAUGUGGUGAAGAAUAGACUCUGUAGGAGAGGCUUGCGCUUUUGCAUGCAGCAGAGGCUGGAUAUUUAUAGUCCCCGUCCACCCUGUAAUUAUUUUAAAAAUAAAUACUUUUUCCCAAUGAUUUUGGUAAAUCAGAUCAUUGAUUGAGUCAAGACAAUUGCUUGCAUUUUUUUAUAUACGAGAACUUGCCGCCAGUUGGCUCUCUUGCUUAAUUCUUUUCAGCUUUUGCUGCUUCUUUUGAACUGAACUAAAUGCAGUUUCCUUUUUCUUUAACUUGUUAUUAGACGUACUAACCAAGUAAGUAUUUCCAGUUCUCUCUUACUUUAAACAUUUUUCUUCUCUCACACAAUGUGAAAUGAGCUCAUAGGGAGUCCAUUCCCUUUUUGGCAACUGUAACUGACCUUAAAUUAAUCGAGUUGUGCAAGAAGAGAAAUCAAAAUCAAAUGCACGAGAAAGUCAUCAAACAACUUAAACUUUAAUGCCUUUAAUCUUAAAGCAAGACGAGACAUCCAUAAUGUACUACUCAUUUAUGUUUUAUUCAACCUUAUUCUUUAACGAAGCCAAGUUCGCCAGAAGCGAGCUAAUUUCAGCCCUAUUGCUUUUUGGAAAGCUUUUUUUCAAUUUCUUUAAGAAAUCCCUUGGCAUUAGUUACCUUAGGCCCCUGAAUGUUAGUGGAACUCCAUGUUUUAUGAUCACAAGAUCCAUGCGGUUUAAAUGAUUCCACUUAUUUGAGUCCCUUUUUAUUAGUGAAAAUUUUAUCCGUAAGAGCAGUGGAUUGUUCAAUCCUUAAAGCAAGGUCUAGAUCCAUGCCGCUAAGAACAAUGAAAACGUUCUCAUUCCAGUCCUUAAAUUUUGAUUCAAGCACAAGAAUUGAAAUGAUGUUGGCAGAAAUUGUAGAAGUUGAUGGAUUAACUUAAUAGAAAACUUAAACCUAAUUAACAUGUUCACAUGGAAUCCAUAUUGGACAAUCGAUAAUUUCAAAUAAUGGUGCGUCCCAUCACAAGAGAUCUAGCACAGCAUUGAAAUUUAAUCUUCGGACGAAAAUAUCUAGUAAGUUGUAGUCUUAGUAUAGUAAUCAAAUAUUGACAAUAAAUCUGAUCAAAGAUCAAGUUUAUCUUUGGACUAACUCAUUGUUAACAUAAUGAAAAACAUUACAAUUGUCACAUUUAUUACCACGUGUGCAAAUAGUUCAGCCAAAUAUUGACCUUUUAUUUGGACCGGUGAAUAUUCGAAUGAAUAACAUACACACAACCCUCCUAAUAUUCUAAAUAAAUUAAUUUAGACAAGAGAGGUUACUUUGAUAAUAUGUUACUUCAACUAAUCUAUUUUAAGAAAUUAGUAAUCUGAAAUAAAUAUUAAGUACUAAGAUUUGAAAUUGAUGAUACCUUUAUAUUUUAUUUUUAUUUUUCUCUUCUGUGUCCGAAAGAAAAAAAAUAAUGGGGAUAGAAUUAGGGCGCUGCAAUACCCAGCGACAAUAGGGCGUUGCCAACUUAACUGAACGCAGCUCGUGACGCCCUAACAUGGCGUCGCAAUGCUACGACGCUGUAGCAAUACUGAAAAAUCCCAAAAAUUCCAAAAUUUUGAUACCUAGGAUUUGAAAUUCACAACCCAACGUUUUGUAAAACCAAAGUAUGAAUUUAACCCUAAAAUCUUCCUUUAAUCUCAAUGGUUUAACAUGGAGUUGGCUCUAAUACCACUCGUUGAAACAUCAAAUCUCAAAACUAGAAAAUAUAAUUACUUUAUUGUCAAGAUCCUCCAAUCAAGUCAUCACGAGAAUUAUAAAGUGUGGAACAUACCUUAAUUCAUUGGGAAUAUUUCUUUAAUACUGCAUCUUAAUUCCGGAUCUUGAAUAUUGGUUAUUGAUCAUCUUAAUUCUUGAUUGUGGGUUUGAUUGUAGGUUUUGGAUCUUCUUCAAUAUGUUUCCUCUUGUAUUAUUGUGUUGAUGUGAUGACAUAAAGAAUGUGUCCACACCUUAUUUGAAUGCCCUACACCGAACAAUUUAAUUCUUUAUUAAAUCACUUUAAUUAAGCUUAACUUUAAGAUAACCUUAUACACAGUUAAUUAUAUAUGUAAGCCCACGUAACAAAUUAAUAAACCCAACAUAAUUAUGAUUGAAAAUAAUAUUUGUAGCAUGUGGAUGUUGUAUGCUGUCAUUGUUGACGAAGCUUACGAGUUAGUUGAUAUGUUAUUAGUGGAUGAUGGUUGAAGGAGGACUGAGGCGGAGGAUUCUAUUCUAAGUGACAUAAGUCUGGAAGACGAUUCACCUUCUAGUUCUUUUCACUUACAACUUCCUCAGCCUUCCCAUGUAAUGUGACAAUUGCUCGACGAGUCCUUAAGUCGUGCAUUGGACUGGAAACUUGAUAAAAUGGAGUAGACUACUUGCUAAGUUGGAUCAAAAUUAAUGCCUUUAUUGUAACCUUGUGUGUCUAGACCCUAUAGAUUACUCCUUGUUGGUGAUAUUUUUGUGUUUGGUUAAGUAUAAUUUUUGAUAUAAUAAACUCUUUUAAUAUUUAGCCUGAUUUAACAAAAAAAAUGUUGAGAUUUACCCCCUGUUUGGCCUCCAUUAUUUCUAAAAUACAUAUUUCUCUUUCUUCUUUUUAACUACAUAGUACACAUUCUCUAAUAAAAUAAUAUUACACGUAAACUCAAAACUUUUUAUUCUUUUUUAACCAUACAUUCUUAAAAGAUCACUAUUUCAG